UAGGGAAUAUUGCAAAUGGGCGAAAGCCUGAUGUAGCAACGCCGCGUGUGCGAUGAAGGUCUUCGGAUUGUAAAGCACUUUUUGGAGGGAUGAGGAAGGACAGUACCUCCAGAAUAAGCCUCGGCUAACUACGUGCCAGCAGCCGCGGUAACACGUAGGAGGCAAGCGUUAUUCGGAUUUACUGGGCGUAAAGCGCGUGCAGGCGGUUUGGAAAGUUGGAUGUGAAAGCUCCUGGCUCAACUGGGAGAGGUCGUUCAAAACUUCCAGAAUUGAGAGUGGGAGAGGGAGGUGGAAUUCCGGGUGUAGUGGUGAAAUGCGUAAGUAUCCGGAGGAACACCAGUGGCGAAAGCGGCCUCCUGGACCACUUCUG
rnacentral:rRNA from 1 species